rnacentral:sRNA from 1 species
GGUUCGAAUCCUGCACGACCCACCAAUCGUUCGGUGGAAACGAGAAUAAAACGUGAAGGAUAACGUUGCGUCAGCAACGGCCCGUAGGGCGAGGCGAAGCCGAGUCAUCCUGCACGACCCACCA